rnacentral:rRNA from 1 species
CUGGGCGUAAGAGCGCGUAGGCGGCUCGAUAAGUGUGAAGUGAAAUCUCUAGGGCUCAACCCAGAAACUGCUUUACAUACUGUCGAGCUGGAGUGAUGAAGAGGUUUGUGGAAUUCCUGGUGUAGCGGUGAAAUGCGUUGAUAUCAGGAGGAACACCCAUGGCGAAGGCAGCAAACUGGUCAUCAACUGACGCUGAGGCGCGAAAGCGUGGGUAGCAAACAGGAUUAGAUACCCUGGUAGUCCACGCCCUAAACGAUGGAUACUAGGCGUAAGAGGUAUCGACCCCUCUUGUGCCGCAGCUAACGCAUUAAGUAUCCCGCCUGGGGAGUACGGCCGCAAGGUUGAAACUCAAAUGAAUUGACGGGGACCCGCACAAGCGGUGGAGCAUGUGGAUUAAUUCGAUACUAACCGAAGAACCUUACCCAGACUUGACAUCGAUCGCAAAGUCCAGAAAUGGGCUCCUCCCCCACAAGGGGACGUGAAGACACUUGUUGCAUGGCUGUCGUCAGCUCGUGCCGUGAGGUGUACGGUUAAGUCCGCCAACGAGCGCAACCCUCGUCCUGUGUUACCAGCAUGAAAGAUGGGGACUCACAGGAGACCGCCGGUGUAAAUCGGAGGAAGGUGGGGAUGACGUCAAGUCAGCAUGGCAGUUACGUCUGGGGCUUCACACAUGCUACAAUGGGCGAAACAGAGGGCAGCAACACCGCGAGGUAGAGCCAAUCCCAAAAAUACGCCCCCAGUUCAGAUUCCAGUCUGCAACUCGACUGCAUGAAGGCGGAAUCGCUAGUAAACGCAGGUCAGCUAUACUGCGUGGAAUACGUUCCCGG